GACGAACGCUGGCGGCGUGCUUAACACAUGCAAGUCGAACGGGAUCCGGGCUUUCGGGUUUGGUGAGAGUGGCGAACGGGUGAGUAACACGUGAGUAACCUGCCCCCUUCUUUGGGAUAACGUCGGGAAAUCGGCGCUAAUACUGGAUAUUCUUGCUGCAUCGCAUGGUGUGGUUUGGAAAGGGUUUCUGGUGGGGGAUGGGCUCGCGGCCUAUCAGCUUGUUGGUGGGGUGAUGGCCUACCAAGGCUUUGACGGGUAGCCGGCCUGAGAGGGUGUCCGGCCACACUGGGACGGAGACACGGCCCAGACUCCUACGGGAGGCAGCAGUGGGGAAUAUUGCACAAGGGGCGCAAGCCUGAUGCAGCGACGCCGCGUGAGGGAUGACGGCCUUCGGGUUGUAAACCUCUUUCAGUAUGGAACAAGGAUCCUUCUUGUGGGGGGUUUGAGGGUACGUGCAGAAGAAGCGCCGGCUAACUACGUG
rnacentral:rRNA from 1 species